AGAGUUUGAUCCUGGCUCAGGAUGAACGCUAGCGGGAGGCCUAACACAUGCAAGUCGAACGGGAUUGGGAGCUUGCUCCCAUGAGAGUGGCGCACGGGUGAGUAACGCGUAUGCAACCUGCCUAUAACAGAGGGAUAGCCCAUAGAAAUGUGGAUUAAUACCUCAUAGUCCUUAGGAACCGCAUGGUUUUUAAGGUAAAACUCCGGUGGUUAUAGAUGGGCAUGCGUGACAUUAGCUAGUUGGUGAGGUAACGGCUCACCAAGGCGACGAUGUCUAGGGGUUCUGAGAGGAUGAUCCCCCACACUGGUACUGAGACACGGACCAGACUCCUACGGGAGGCAGCAGUGAGGAAUAUUGGUCAAUGGGCGCAAGCCUGAACCAGCCAUCCCGCGUGAAGGAUGAAGGUCCUAUGGAUUGUAAACUUCUUUUAUACACCAAGAAAAACUCGAACGUGUUCGAGCCCGACGGUAGUGUAUGAAUAAGCAUCGGCUAACUCCGUGCCAGCAGCCGCGGUAAUA
rnacentral:rRNA from 1 species